rnacentral:rRNA from 1 species
GGCGGCACGCCGCAGGGGUACUCUUCCCCGUCGUCUUCGGACGCGAUGCGGGAGAUGAUCUUCCACAUCGCGGCGCUGCAGCCGGUGGAGGUCGACCCGGAGGCGGUGCGCCCGCCGAAGCGCCGCAACGUGCGGACCUCCAAGGACCCGCAGAGCGUGGCGGCGAGGCUGCGGCGGGAGCGCAUCAGCGAGCGGAUCCGCGUCCUGCAGCGCCUCGUCCCCGGCGGCACCAAGAUGGACACCGCCUCCAUGCUCGACGAGGCCAUCCACUACGUCAAGUUCCUCAAGUCCCAGGUGCAGUCGCUCGAGCUCGCCGCCGCCGCCACCGGCGCGGCCGCCCACCGUGCCGCUGCCUUCGCCUACCCCGCCCUUCAGCACGCGCCGUGGUAG